AUUGAACGCUGGCGGCAUGCAUAACACAUGCAAGUCGAACGGUAACAGGUGUAGCAAUACAUGCUGACGAGUGGCGGACGGGUGAGGAAUGCUUGGGAAUCUGCCUGUUAGUGGGGGACAACCCGGGGAAACUCGGGCUAAUCCCGCAUACGCUCUACGGAGGAAAGCGGGGGACCGUAAGGCCUCGCGCUAACAGAUGAGCCGAAGUCGGAUUAGCUAGUUGGUGGGGUAAUAGCCUACCAAGGCGACGAUCCGUAGCUGGUCUGAGAGGACGAUCAGCCACACUGGGACUGAGACACGGCCCAGACUCCUACGGGAGGCAGCAGUGGGGAAUAUCGGACAAUGGGGGCAACCCUGAUCCAGCAAUGCCGCGUGUGUGAAGAAGGCCUGCGGGUUGUAAAGCACUUUUGGCAGGGAUGAAAAGCACUGGAUUAAUAAUCCAGUGUGUUGACCUAACCUGCAGAAGAAGCACCGGCUAACUCUGUGCCAGCCGCCGCCGUAA
rnacentral:rRNA from 1 species